rnacentral:rRNA from 1 species
CGGAACGGGUGAGUAACGCGUGAGGAACCUGCCUCAAAGAGGGGGACAACAGUUGGAAACGACUGCUAAUACCGCAUAAGCCCACGGCUCGGCAUCGAGCAGAGGGAAAAGGAGUGAUCCGCUUUGAGAUGGCCUCGCGUCCGAUUAGCUAGUUGGUGAGGUAACGGCCCACCGAGGCGACGAUCGGUAGCCGGACUGAGAGGUUGAACGGCCACAUUGGGACUGAGACACGGCCCAG